AUGGGGAAAGCAAUUUUUUUUGCAAGUAAAUGUGUGAAAGUUAAUGACAAUUUCUGUACCUGCUGGUGUAACAAGCCAGCCACAAUGUCAGGUUUUAAUGUAGGGAAGCAGCAGCCCCCUGGAGAAUACCUGCAGCCUUUUAUCACUUCACCAAUACAUUUAUCCCUCUCAAGGCGAUGCAGACAUCAGAGCACACGCUUGGUUUUGCUCUGUAACAACAUCAACAUCACAGAGGAGCGUAUCCAUGCAAAAUCUUUAUUUGGAGAAUGUCUCCUGUGGGACAGCAGCACCCCUCCAGUUUACAGGGAUUCAAUAGCAUAAUCAUCUCAUGAAAUCUCCAGCUUCAUUCUUUACUGGGACUGUGCAGAAGAAUACAACUUUAAACUCCGUGGUCUACACCUGUAAGUAAAUCUCACUCCAGUAAAUUAGGACUGCAGCAUCGUGACUUAUUGCCCGGGGCAUGAAAUUAGGGGGGUGUUUGAUCCUUAACCAAGAAAAUAUCAGCGUCCUGCAAAAGGACAGCUUUACAGGAAACAUUCAAAAGGCCAACAAUUAAAAAGCUCAUUUAUUUCAUCUGAUGGCUCCUGUCAAGUACAGAUGUGCUUCUCAGAUACACUUGCUUAAUCAGAUUGUGAGCUUGGACAAAAUGCCUACCUUGCAAUUGCAAGAACUGCUAUUUAAAAUGCAAGAACAUCUCACUUGUACUUUUCUCCCAAUUGCUUUUCUUUUGAAAAGGGGCAGUGAAGAAAAUAUCAACGCUUUAACCAGCCCAGAAAGUCCACUAUUGUAAAACUAACAUUCAGCUGGCUGGCUGUGUGCUAAAGGCAACAGAGUAUUGACCCAAGAUAUUAAUACUGAUUUAUGAUAUUAAACAGAAAUAUUUCACUAAACUCAAAUAUUUAUAUAAAUAAGCUCUAUGGGACUGGCUAUUUUCAAAGGGUGCCCACUUGACAGAUUAAUUGUAUUACUUGACCACUUUAAGCACAUAUUGUCCUUUUUUUUUAUUUUUUAUUUCCCAGCAGUUGUUGGCUGUUUCAGUGUAUAGAAGCUCCCACCAGCCUUUCAUUUUUACGUGUUCCAUCAGGAGCGGAGACAACGGAACUCGAUGGGUUUGAUGCAGUUUGGAGUUGUUUGCAGUAAGGACUAAUCUGUGGCACGAAACACAAGUCUUUCCUAUGCCUAAGGAAAGCUUUUUUGAGUCAGUAGCUGACAAGUGGUGCUUGUUCAGGCCUACUGCUGGGCAUUUCAGCUACCAAUGGUUGUGAGUCAUGCGAAGGGAUUUCCCUCCUUUGCCUCUCUCGUCCCACCCUAUUUGUCAGUGAUGACAGUGGGAUUUCAGAGACAGGAGCAUUUCUCAUUGCACUCUUCUGUCUAGUUCAAAAUGCCUCUAGCAAGGACUGGGGUGGGAUCAGGGAACCGUGGCUCUUCCUGCAGACCAACUCCUAACUCGUGCUCAGGGGAACCACACGAGGGAGCACUCUCACCUUCCAAAAAUGACAUUCCCAUCAGGGAGUUCCCGAAUACCUUCUCACUUCGCACCUCUGCUCCAAACCCAAAGGGACUUGCUUUUCUUGGUCAGCAGCUGCGAGCAAUGCUGGAGACUGGUGUGACUUCUUUCUCAGACAGAAGAUGAGAGCCUCAGGCUGUGGGUUCACCAUGUCCCUCCCUGGCACCAGCGCUGGUACCGUAGCACAGCCACCAGGUGCUGUUAUCUCACUAACCCCAUAAAUUGGCUUUUUACCCUCGUAACAGCACCACAUCCUCCUCCUCCUCUGCAUCCACUCAGCCAUGAGUGCCUGCCCUGGCCAUUGCCAAUGACAGCUGUUGCCAUGACAGCUUUAUUGAAACAGGCACUGAAAAUCACCAUUAACUAUUUUUUAACUGCAUCUGGUGCAGAAGGAGCUUUCUUUUGACUAUUUGCAACUGGCAAAGGGCUUCUGGAAAGGUGUUCAUCUAUGGUAUCAUCCCCCAAGCCCGUUCAGAUAGCUGAUAUGGCACAGGUGCCAUAGAAACACUAAAUCAUAGUCAUUCCUAUGUCACAGUAGGAAUAUCUAGUGUGGUUAAACUAGCACACCAUGUUUAAAGCAGUACUAACUCUAGUCUUCCGUCCAUUGGUCAGCCACAUUGCUGCAAAAUAAAGCUUAUUAAUGUUUUAAGUUUUAAUUUCUC
rnacentral:lncRNA from 1 species